rnacentral:tRNA from 1 species
AAUUAAUUGGCAGAAAAAUGCAUUAGAAUUAGAAUCUAAUUAAACUAUAAUUA